GACGAACGCUGGCGGCGUGCCUAACACAUGCAAGUCGAACGAGGUCCAUCCUUCGGGAGAAGACCUAGUGGCGAACGGGUGAGUAACACGUGAAGAACCUGCCCCGAAGACCGGGAUAACCCUCCGAAAGGAGAGCUAAUACCGGAUACCCCCACCGAACCGCAUGGUUUGGUGAGGAAAUGGAUUCCGCUUCGGGAGGGCUUCGCGGCCUAUCAGCUAGUUGGUGGGGUAACGGCCCACCAAGGCAUCGACGGGUAGCUGGUCUGAGAGGACGAUCAGCCACACUGGGACUGAGACACGGCCCAGACUCCUACGGGAGGCAGCAGUGGGGAAUCUUGGCGACAAGUGGGCAAAGCCUGACGCAGCAA
rnacentral:rRNA from 1 species